rnacentral:rRNA from 1 species
AGCAGCCGCGGUAAUUCCAGCUCCAAUAGCGUAUAUUAAAGUUGUUGCAGUUAAAAAGCUCGUAGUUGAAUUUUAGGUCUGACCGGGCGGUCCGUCUUUGGCGAGUACUGUCCUGUGUCGGGUCUUCCUUCUGGUGAACCAGUAUGUCCUUUAUUGGGUGUGUUGGGGAGCCAGGACCAUUACCUUGAAAAAAUUAGAGUGUUUAAAGCGGGCUAUUGCUUGAAUAGAUUAGCAUGGAAUAAUAGAAUAGGACGAUGUGGUUCUAUUUUGUUGGUUUCUAGGACCACCGUAAUGAUUAAUAGGGAUAGUUGGGGGCAUUAGUAUUCAAUUGUCAGAGGUGAAAUUCUUGGAUUUAUUGAAGACUAACUAUUGCGAAAGCAUUUGCCAAGGAUGUUUUCAUUAAUCAAGAACGAAAGUUAGGGGAUCGAAGACGAUCAGAUACCGUCGUAGUCUUAACCAUAAACUAUGCCGACUAGGAAUCGGGCAACGUUAUUUAAUGACUUGCUCGGCGCCUUAUGGG